rnacentral:rRNA from 1 species
AGUGAACGCUGGCGGUAGGCCUAACACAUGCAAGUCGAACGGCAGCACAGUAAGAGCUUGCUCUUACGGGUGGCGAGUGGCGGACGGGUGAGGAAUACAUCGGAAUCUACUUUUUCGUGGGGGAUAACGUAGGGAAACUUACGCUAAUACCGUAUACGACCUACGGGUGAAAGCAGGGGAUCUUCGGACCUUGCGCGAUUGAAUGAGCCGAUGUCGGAUUAGCUAGUUGGCGGGGUAAAGGCCCACCAAGGCGACGAUCCGUAGCUGGUCUGAGAGGAUGAUCAGCCACACUGGAACUGAGACACGGUCCAGACUCCUACGGGAGGCAGCAGUGGGGAAUAUUGCACAAUGGGCGCAAGCCUGAUCCAGCCAUACCGCGUGGGUGAAGAAGGCCUUCGGGUUGUAAAGCCCUUUUGUUGGGAAAGAAAAGCAGCAGGUUAAUACCCCGCUGUUCUGACGGUACCCAAAGAAUAAGCACCGGCUAACUUCGUG